CUCAAGCUCAAGCUUUUUUCGAGGGAGAUGCUUGAAGAAUGCUUGUACAGCUCCAGCAACACCAUCCUCAUUCUCCAUGUCUUUGGCAAGCUCCACCGCGCGCUCCUUCACCUGACAUGUUAAAUUCAUCGGAUCAAAAGGAGAUUGCCCAAGUUCAAACUCUCUUAAUGCUCUUCAUACAUGAUGAAGUGAACUGAGGCCCAUCAAAAGGAGUUCCCUGGAUGAGUAAAUAAAUAUAAAGAGGUCCGCACAUGCAUUUUUUCCCCUACCCAAAAUGAACUUGAGCUUAUCAAAAAGAGUUCCUUGUCAAGCUUUUCGCAAGAUUAUGAAUUCUGCCUGGCCAGAAAGGAAAAGAGGACUGUGCGUGUGGAUUGUAGAUUUUGACCUUUUUUUUUUUUCUUUUUAUCCUCGGCUAGUAUAUGUCCAGUGAUUUGACAUUACCUUGGGAUCUAGCAUGAAAUGUAUCGCCUCAACCAACUUGGUAAGUGAGAACUCAUCAACAGGUAUGGGUGGAGGACCUACUCCUCUCGCAUGCACCCGCUCACCCCAGAAGGGUUGGUCACCAAAGAAAGGCACAAUGGUUGUAGGGCACUGCAUUCACGAAAGAAGAAGGAUAAAGAAAAAAGACAGAAAGGACAGGAUACAGAAAUCUACAAUACAAACAAGCCGCAGCUAUUACCGCAGCUUUAAGACCAGCAGCUGUUGUUCCAGCACCUCCAUGAUGAACCUACAGCAAAGUGCAAGCUAACAACAAUGGGACAGCAAGAUUGAAAAAGGAAACACAAAAAUUGAAGAACCCAAUCAACAUCAUCAUCAACUACUCAAACUUUUCACCUCCCAACUCUUUCGCAUUUUAUAGAUUUUGAUGAGUGACAGUUGUUUCUCAAGUAUUAUAUCCAACUGACAAAGCUGAAAAAUUAAGCCUUA